UCCAGACUCCUACGGGAGGCAGCAGUGGGGGAUAUUGCACAAUGGGGGGAACCCUGAUGCAGCGACGCCGCGUGGGUGAAGGAGCGUUUCGGCGCGUAAAGCCCUAUCGGCAGGGAAGAAGGAGGACGGUACCUGACUAAGAAGCCCCGGCUAACUACGUGCCAGCAGCCGCGGUAAUACGUAGGGGGCAAGCGUUAUCCGGAUUUACUGGGUGUAAAGGGGGCGCAGACGGCAGCGCAAGCCAGGAGUGAAAGCCCGGGGCCCAACCCCGGGACUGCUCUUGGAACUGCGCGGCUGGAGUGCAGGAGGGGCAGGCGGAAUUCCUGGUGUAACGGUGAAAUGCGUAGAUAUCAGGAGGAACACCGGUGGCGAAGGCGGCCUGCUGGACUGCGACUGACGUUGAGGCCCGAAAGCGUGGGGAGCAAACAGGAUUAGAUACCCUUGUAC
rnacentral:rRNA from 1 species